rnacentral:rRNA from 1 species
GACGAACGCUGGCGGCGUGCUUAACACAUGCAAGUCGAACGCUGAAGCUUGGUGCUUGCACUGGGUGGAUGCGUGGCGAACGGGUGCGUAAUACUUACGUAACCUGCCCUUGACUCUGGGAUCAGCCUGCGAAACCUGGUCUAAUACUGGAUAUCACAUGCCACUGCAUGGUGGUGUGUGGUAAGGGUUUUACUGGUUUUGUAUGGGCUCACGGCCUAUCAGCUUGUUGGUGGGGUAAUGGCCUACCAAGGCGACGACGGGUAGCCGGCCUGAGAGGGUGACCGGCCACACUGGGACUGAGACACGGCCCAGACUCCUACGGGAGGCAGCAGUGGGGAAUAUUGCACAAUGGGCGGAAGCCUGAUGCAGCGACGCCGCGUGAGGGAUGACGGCCUUCGGGUUGUAAACCGCUUUCAGCACGGAAGAAGCGAGAGUGACGGUACGUGCAGAAGAAGCGCCGGCUAACUACGUG